AAUGUAUACAGUUUAUUACUCACAAUAGUUAUACAGUACAAAAUACAAUGUUUUCCUAACCCUUUUCAAUGAUUUUUAUAAAAAGUUUAUUUUGGUGCAGAUUUUAGAACUUUUGUUUUUUAUUGUUUUAAAUGUUUAAAUGAAUUGCAUCUCUAAACAUCUAACAUCAGUAUAGAUUUUAAAAGUUCAGCUCUUGUCACAGGGUGAACAGUUUUUAUUCCAGUAACUAUGAUCGAAUCGAAUAGAAUUAGUUUUAUCGCAGAUCCAGUCUGAAGGCAGUGUUGGCAGAGGCGCAUUGUCUGCUGAUUGGUCAGAUUUCUUGCGCAUGCGCAGAGCGUUCGAGAAACAUGGCGUCCUCCAGUGAGCGCUCCGAGAAAAGCGAAAGUUUCCAGAGAAACGAACGCGGCGAUGCGCUUGUUUCAGACAGUCUUUCACACGACAGCUGCAGCGAGACUGUGCAAGACGAAGACUCGAGCGAAUAUGACAAGAAAGUGGGCGUAUCGACACAAACCGGGACCUAACUGUUACUGGCUCACGCGCGUGGCGCUGCUGCGAGCCAUCGCUUUCAUCUACUGUGAGUCCGACAGGUGGCAGCGCUACAGGAUGCUGUUGCUAGGAGACCAGACACACUUAGUUACAUCAGUUAGUUACAGUUACUAGCCUGUGCACUAGAAACCUAAAAGUUUACAUUAGUGCAACGCCUGUGUAUAAUAUAAUACCUCACCUUUUUCUUGCCAAAGUGUGAAAUCACUGCUGUCUAGUUGUGGCUUUCUGCUCAUUGGAGAGAAAGGGCUCAUGCCAUGAAGGACUACUUGAGGAGCAUUAAGCGUUAUGUGGGUGGCAAGAUUGGCAUUGCGGCCCUGGCGUACACUCCUUCGGUCCUCUGGUUUAUGGACUGGAAUGACAUGGAUGCCAACCUGGAUGGCACUGCUCUGGUGGGAAUGGCUCUGGCAGGGUUUGUUUUAAUUAUGGGGAAGUGCCAGUAUGAUCAUUAUGGGAGUGCUUUGGAUCCUGUAUCACUCUGAGCGUCAGACAGCUUUGGUGCUCUUUUGAAUUCGCUUCAGUGUUUAGGUUUUUGAUUUGGGAUGUCCAUGAGUGUGACCGAUGGAGGCUUUGAAGCCAAAUCCGUUCGGUACGAUGUGGCCUGCGCCAAGUCACAGUGGGAAGAUGAUUCAUCUGAACUCUUAGCCCAGCGUUUUACCUCAUCCCACUAACCACAUCUGUGAUCGUUUCAUCCCACCGAAAUCCAAAUUCUCCAGAUAAACAAGAAAGCCACAAAUGGCUUCAAUUGGCCAAUCAGGAUUUAAUUUAAGCCCGUUGUUGAGUGGAAGACAAGAACAUGUUUUUUGAUUUAUAUUUGAAAAUUUCUUUUGUGUUUUACACCAGUUUUGUCAUUUAAAGCUUUUCCUGGUUUUAGGGAUCAAUCCAAGUGAAUGUAACAGUGUAAUGUCAUGUAAUGAUUUUCAGAUGAUUAGAAAUCUUUUUCCAUUUUCAGAAGUGUACAUACCAGGGGUGUAAAACUACAGCGUUAUGGAUCAAUGCAUCAAACAGAUGACUAGCAAUGUG
ensembl:lncRNA